rnacentral:rRNA from 1 species
UAGGGAACCUUCCGCAAUGGACGAAAGUCUGACGGAGCAACGCCGCGUGAGUGAUGAAGGUUUUCGGAUCGUAAAGCUCUGUUGUUAGGGAAGAACAAGUGCGAGAGUAACUGCUCGCACCUUGACGGUACCUAACCAGAAAGCCACGGCUAACUACGUGCCAGCAGCCGCGGUAAUACGUAGGUGGCAAGCGUUGUCCGGAAUUAUUGGGCGUAAAGGGCUCGCAGGCGGUUUCUUAAGUCUGAUGUGAAAGCCCCCGGCUCAACCGGGGAGGGUCAUUGGAAACUGGGAAACUUGAGUGCAGAAGAGGAGAGUGGAAUUCCACGUGUAGCGGUGAAAUGCGUAGAGAUGUGGAGGAACACCAGUGGCGAAGGCGACUCUCUGGUCUGUAACUGACGCUGAGGAGCGAAAGCGUGGGGAGCGAACAGG